rnacentral:rRNA from 1 species
GACGAACGCUGGCGGCGUGCCUAAUACAUGCAAGUCGAGCGAAUGGAAGGGAGCUUGCUCCCUGAAGUUAGCGGCGGACGGGUGAGUAACACGUGGGCAACCUGCCUGUAAGACUGGGAUAACUUCGGGAAACCGGAGCUAAUACCGGAUACGUUCUUUCCUCGCAUGAGGGAAGAUGGAAAGAUGGUUUCGGCUAUCACUUACAGAUGGGCCCGCGGCGCAUUAGCUAGUUGGUGGGGUAAUGGCCCACCAAGGCGACGAUGCGUAGCCGACCUGAGAGGGGGAGCGGCGACACGGGGACUGAGACACGGCCCAGACUCCUACGGGAGGCAGCAGUAGGGAAUCUUCCGCAAUGGACGAAAGUCUGACGGAGCAACGCCGCGUGAGCGAAGAAGGCCUUCGGGUCGUAAAGCUCUGUUGUCGGGGAAGAACAAGUGCCAGAGUAACUGCUGGCACCUUGACGGUACCUGACCAGAAAGCCACGGCUAACUACGUGCCAGCCGCCGCCGUAAAAC